AGAGAGGUGGCCGAGUGGUCGAAGGCGCACGCCUGGAAAGUGUGUAUACGGCAACGUAUCGAGGGUUCGAAUCCCUUCCUCUCUGCAA
rnacentral:tRNA from 3 species